GGAGUUCGGGUUUGGGCGUUUAACUCUGUUGUGAGUGACUUCUGCCAGAGCUUGCAUCGUGGUCGCAACCCAAGGUGAAGGGUAGCAGCAAGUGGAAGAGACUUUGCUAAGCUUAGAGUGACAAGGGAGAAAGAACGUGGGGCUGUCAAUAAAACAAGGGCCAAGGGUGGAAACGCUGCACUUAAUCCGCCAAAAAUCGAGGUCUUGCAGCAGAAGCCAUGGCAGGCCUAGCUGUCUGGGAAAAACUGUUACGUUUUGUUGAGGUUUGGGACGCCAGAGGACAUCAUAGGACUUGUAUUUGGCCACACGGUUGAGCAUCCGACUGUACUUUGGAAGCUGGAUGGCAGACCUGUAAAGGCUGAAUGGAACUUUGAGUGACACGAUGGGGAUGUUCAGUGAGACCAUGACAGCCUGCAACUGAACUCUAUCCUUAAUGUGAUGAUGUUCCUGUGAUAGCUAGUGCUUUAAACAGAUCUCUUUUUUAUUUAAGUGACAGGGGUUCCAAAUUGUUAAUUCUGUUUUGUUUUUUAGCAGAUCAGUAAGGACAAAAAAGUGAUUGACCCAGUCUAAUGUGGUAGGAAUAAGUGAAAUACUAAGGCUGGGUCCCUUGCUCUACUUCCUCUCAGGCACCCAUUCAUUUGAAUAGAAUUCUCUAAGGGCCACAGACAUUUCUAGUACCUUCUUCCAGAUAACAGAAAAUUAAAGCCAUCAUGUAACAUGUCCUACCUCCCUGCUCUGUCAAUGCCUUAUUUGUCUACCUCAGAAGAUAAAUUGUACUCCCUCCACCA